UAAGUCGGAUUAGCUAGUUGGUGGGGUAAAGGCCUACCAAGGCGACGAUCUGUAGCGGGUCUGAGAGGAUGAUCCGCCACACUGGGACUGAGACACGGCCCAGACUCCUACGGGAGGCAGCAGUGGGGAAUAUUGGACAAUGGGGGGAACCCUGAUCCAGCCAUGCCGCGUGUGUGAAGAAGGCCUUUUGGUUGUAAAGCACUUUAAGCGAGGAGGAGGCUACCGAGAUUAAUACUCUUGGAUAGUGGACGUUACUCGCAGAAUAAGCACCGGCUAACUCUGUGCCAGCAGCCGCGGUAAUACAGAGGGUGCAAGCGUUAAUCGGAUUUACUGGGCGUAAAGCGCGCGUAGGUGGCCAAUUAAGUCAAAUGUGAAAUCCCCGAGCUUAACUUGGGAAUUGCAUUCGAUACUGGUUGGCUAGAGUAUGGGAGAGGAUGGUAGAAUUCCAGGUGUAGCGGUGAAAUGCGUAGAGAUC
rnacentral:rRNA from 1 species